GACGAACGCUGGCGGCGUGCUUAACACAUGCAAGUCGAACGGAAAGGCCCUGCUUUUGUGGGGUGCUCGAGUGGCGAGCGGGUGAGUAACACGUGAGUAACCUGCCCUUGACUUUGGGAUAACUUCACGAAACUGGGGCUCAUACCGCAUAGGAGCUCCUGCAGCAUGGUGGGGGAUGGAAAGAUUCGGCGGUUGGGGCUGGACUCGCGGCUUAUCAGCUUGUUGGUGGGGUAGGUGCUUACCAAGGCUUUGACGGGUAGCCGGCCUGAGAGGGUGACCGGCCACAUUGGGACUGAGAGACGGCCCAGACUCCUACGGGAGGCAGCAGUGGAGAAUAUUGCACAAUGGGCGGAAGCCUGAUGCAGCGACGCCGCGUGCGGGAUGCCGGCUUUCGGGGUGUAAACCGCUUUCGCCUGUGACGAAGCGUGAGUGACGGUAAUGGGUAAAGAAGCAACGGCUAACUACGUG
rnacentral:rRNA from 1 species